CCAUAUCCAGUACAUACAUUUAAACAAGCAGUGCAUAUUGACUGCCCUGUCUAAAGAAUUGUUUACCGUGGCAUUGCAGCCACUACCAUGUGUUGACAAUGAAGACGGUCACUUUGUGAACAGCAACGAUAAAAUAAGAAGGGCAGACCGAUUGGACCGAACAAAUAGAGUCAAAACCAAUUCCCAUAGUCUGAGUCUUCGCUGCGAUCGAAAAGCAGCCGACCAGCGGUGACGCAGUUAUUGCCGUCGAUGCAUCUUAAUCUGUACCGGCUGCCAUUUAAUCUCUUCCAUUGUAUUUAGUGAUCGCGAAGCAGUUAACCCUUCAAUCUAAGUUUUUCAAUUUCGGAGCAGUUACAUUGACCCAAUUUUAGUGGCUAAUAAGCAUGAUUAAAUAGUAUUGCUAACUUAUUCUACUUUACUACAUGAAGCGGAAUACUUGUACCCAUUCAAAUGGUCUUCUGGUCGUGAUGCACCAAAUGUCUGCAAACACGGACGGAUCUCGCAAAACUUGAGGUGCUCCUGGAAUUCCUUGUCCAUCUUAUCUUGUGUAUCCGUUUCCCAGGCCCAUGCCCAGACCUAGCCGCCUGUAAGUACGGACUUUACGACAACCUGGAAGGUUGCUCCCAGUGCAAAUCGUUAAGUUUUUUUUUUUGUGGCGUGCCAAUACAAUGCCACAACCAAACAACACAAGAAUUUAUAGCAUUUUAUUUUCAAAGACACAGAAAUUCUGUCCCUUGCCACCAAUAAUGGAAUGAACAAUAAAUUUAAACGCGCAGAUGUACAACGCUCCAUAUGUAAAGGUA